CGGCGAGUGAACAGGGAAUAGCCCAGCACCGAAGCCUGUGGCCGUUUGGUUACUAGGCAAUGUGGUGUUUAGGUCGUUCCACGAUGGUUCUGCUCCACCCUAAGUCCAUUAAUGAGUGUGGUAUAUGGACGCGGCCCAUUGAGGGUGAAAGGCCCGUUUGGGUGGAGAUUCGAUUGGACAGAGCCAUCCUGGGUAGACCUUGGAGUCGGGUUGUUUGAGAAUGCAGCCCAAAGUGGGUGGUAAACUCCAUCCAAGGCUAAAUACUUGCACGAGUCCGAUAGCGAACAAGUACCGUGAGGGAAAGUUGAAAAGUACUUUGAAGAGAGAGUAAACAGUGCGUGAAACCGCUCAGAGGUAAACGGGUGGAGUUGAACUGCAAGCUCGAGGGAUUCAGCUGGUGAGUGUGGUUUGAGCUUGGUCAAAUGGGUGAACUCUGGAGUCUGCUUAGCUGCAGGUCUCUUCCUUCGGGUUGAGAUGCGCGGUACACUUAUCAAGUGUUGUGCGCUCUGGAUGUUUUUCGGCCUGCUCGUCAGUGCACUUUCCUCGAGUGGUCACCACGACCGUCACGGCUGUCUGGCCGGCGAUGUUAAACCGGUUUUGUAUCGCCCUUGUGGCUUUGCUCGAUCGGGAUGGCAGGUAGCUCGUUGUUGUGAACGGUUCGCCGUAAACGCUUCGAGUGUAAUCAGCUGACAUUGUUGGUUCAGUGCAGUGUGUCGGAGACGGCGGCUAAAGGUGUGUGCAUGCGUUGUAUUCUGCUGGCUUGUCCCGGGUCUGGUGGUUAUGUUGCCUGUUAAAGCAGGCCUGAUUAUGUCCCGGGCAUGUUCGGUGGUUUGCGGCGUGUGUGUCACUAUUUUGAUGGCCUAUAGUCUGUGGUGUAGUGGUAGACUUUCCACCUGACCCGUCUUGAAACACGGACCAAGGAGAGUAACAUGUAUGCGAGUCAUUGGGCGUUACGAAACCCAAAGGCGCAGUGAAAGUAAAGGUCUGACUUGUUCAGACUAAGGUGAGAUCCUGUCGUUUCUCACGCAUGGUACUACCAAGCAUCGAGCGAUAGGCGCAUCACCGGCCCGUCCCAUGGCAGUUGUUUUCGGACAGUUUUCGGUCGAGGCGGAGCAUGAGCAUACAUGUUGAGACCCGAAAGAUGGUGAACUAUGCUUGCGCAGGUUGAAGCCAGAGGAAACUCUGGUGGAGGACCGCAGCGAUUCUGACGUGCAAAUCGAUCGUCAAACGUGAGUAUAGGGGCGAAAGACUAAUCGAACCAUCUAGUAGCUGGUUCCCUCCGAAGUUUCCCUCAGGAUAGCUGGUGUUCAUAAAAGUAAAGAGUUUUAUCCGGUAAAGCGAAUGAUUAGAGGCAUUGGGAACGAAACGUUCUCAACCUAUUCUCAAACUUUAAAUGGGUGAGAAGUCCAACUCGCCUAAACGGAGUUGGGCGUUGAAUGUGAGUGCCAAGUGGGCCAUUUUUGGUAAGCAGAACUGGCGCUGUGGGAUGAACCAAACGUUCGGUUAAGGUGCCUAACUCGACGCUCAUCAGAUACCACAAAAGGUGUUGGUUGGUCUAGACAGCAGGACGGUGGCCA
rnacentral:rRNA from 1 species